rnacentral:lncRNA from 1 species
UCCUAUGAGCAGACUUACCAGGUUGUCUUCUUCCCACAGGUCAGCAACUCCUUCUUCUAUGGUUCUGAGGCAGAACCCGGGAGCUGUGUGCAGAAGUUAUGACGCUACUCCUGAACCUCUCGAGGUGGGUGGAAGGACAGCAGCCCCGCGGUCUUCUAAGGCAGGGGGUUCUGGCAGUGAGUCUUCUUCUGCAUUACACUCCGGGAAUCUCUUGGAUAGCUUGAGGUCCUUUCUUAACACUUGGGCUGUCGGGUACACGGGAGGAGCAUUGUAGCCGAGUGUGGAGUCCACUGACAGGCGGGAGUGGGAUGGCAACGAUGGUUCUGGUGGCUGCGGUGGGCAGUGUUCAGGGUGGGACUACGGUGACUUCACUCGGGUCAUCGGCAAUGGUCAGCAAGCGUGCAGAGUUGAUAGGUGAGAUCCCUAAAGUAGCCAGGCAGAAUGUACACGUGUUAUUCGCUGGGCCUUUGGGUUGUCAUCUAAAAUCGGAAGUGAAGGAAAAGAUAUGGCGGGGCGAAUUCCUCGAUCUUCUCGCUCCUUCCUUUGGAUGAACAUCUUGAUCUGUAGGAGGAAGAUAAGAAGGAUGCCAAGAAAGAGGAGGAGGAAAAGAGAUGGAGGUAUCGGAAGAUACCCAAGUCUUUUGGGAAUUGGCUUCGGGCAUUCUGCAUUUUGGCUAGUGUUUUGGGGGAGAAAUUUCCCGUGCGGUGUUCGCAGUUUUUCUGCUAUUUGGAUGGGAUCUGGGAAACUUAUUGCACUUAUGGGGGCUUUGCAUGGUGGAAGUACGACGAGCAGUUCCGUCAAAGGUUGUCAGCUAAUCCCGGGAUACGGUGGGACCAGAUGGACCUACCUCUAUGGAUGAAACUGAUGAUGGCUCAGAAAGCUGCGCCCUUUCAUGGGAUCAACCUCCUCUUCGUCGGCCUGUCAAAAGAAAGGGUUCUGUUGCAUGUUUAAUGAAGGACAAUGCAAGUGGGGUGCCUCGUGUAAUUUUAAGCACGAAUGUUUGGGCUGCGGGCGUGCCCACUGCCUCAACAGGUGCUUCAAGCGGGGAAAGUCUGUAUCUACCGGCAGAGCCGGGGGUGCGGUGGCACCAUCCACUUCCACUGGGAGCCAACCCGGUGAAGGUCGGCACGAUGUUGCCUUGGCUAAGCUGUUAUGGUAACCAGGGUGUGACGGAACGCUGGCACUCCGACUGAGUACCUCCGCCAAUCGAUGCGCCUAGUGCUCGCUGAGGACUCCAACCGACACCAUCAGCACUGCAGACCCCACUCCCAGCCGUCUCCACCCACCCUGGAUCCAUGACCAGGAUCCAGCUCCCAGUGGGUGAACCUCUCCUAAAUCCAGAGAGCGUAGCAGGAACAAAUCAAGCUAUUGCAAGAGCUUACUCUGGGGAGUAAGUGAUUAUAGCAAUCCCCAGAGUGUAGGUAUCCCUUCCCCCAAACAUGAGCCAAGGCUUCAAGAAAGGUACAAGAUGAUCUGGUUUUAAUGACCACACACUGACUUUUAUGCAAGUCCCCAUGCAAGGAGACAUCCCACAGGGUGGGACACAGUAUAACCAAUCACAGACAAUACAAACAAAACACUCCCACAGUGACAUCGCAAUCCCUCCUCUCUAUCCUGGAGAUAAUUGGGAAGUAAUCAAAUUAUCUCCCAGGACAGAGGCAAGACUCUAUUAACCACAUGGUUACAAAAAUACAUAAAAUUACACAAUGUUACAAUUACUACAUAAAACAUAUACAUGCAACAUAUCCCCAGAUAGCUUAGAUCUGAGUGCACAUUAUUAUUGAAUGGCGCUCAGAUCACAUACAUACAAUUCAAUUGCCAUGGAGCCAAAGUCUUUUCCAUAGUCUUUCGUUCCAUGAAUUGGCUCCAUGGCAUAGCUAUCUGGGGUAGCACUACUCACAUACUGGAAGUCCCGAACAACCCGGCAGAAAUACCCAAAUAAACCUUAUUGCAGGGUAAAAUACAGCUAUCAGCACAGGGGCCAUAGUCGGAAGGCAGGAGGCUAGCCAGUAGUCCCCUCCAGGCACUGUCUGACCCAAUAACUGUCACAUCCAUACACUGUCUGAAUCAAUAACUGUCACAUCCAUACACUGUCUGAUCCAAGGUGUAUGGAUAUGGCUGAAGGAUCCUGUCAUAGACUAGAGGGAGGGAUGAGUUUUUUAAAUAUUUUUUUACAUUAACAUAAUUUAACAAAGAAUGGAUUUCCUUACAAACUUUGACAAAAUUAUUAUUAUUAUAUUAAAAGGUAGAGUUGAGGUGACUGUUCUCCUUUAAUACAGAGAAUGAAGUCUAAAAUCAAGAUGUUUCUUCUAUUUUCGUUCCAGAUUGACAGCGGUCUAUAUGGUUUCGACCUUUCUGACGGCCAUGAGAUGAUAGACCGAUCAUCAUGUGACCAUGUGCAAACCUACGCUAAAAUCAUAUAUAACAACGGGAACACCUGACUUAAAGCAAAACACAAAACUACAUGGCUUACCUGAG